UCAAGUUAUUAAGGGUGCAGGGCGGAUGCCUUGGCACUAGGAGCCGAUGAAGGACGUGAUAAGCUGCGAUAAGCUUCGGGGAGUUGCACGUAAACUUUGAUCCGAAGAUUUCCGAAUGAGGAAACUCACUUAGAGUAAUGUCUAAGUAUCAUUAAGUGAAUACAUAGCUUAAUGAGGGGAACUCAGGGAACUGAAACAUCUAAGUACCUGAAGGAAGAGAAAGAAAUUCGAUUCCGUAAGUAGCGGCGAGCGAACGCGGAUUAGCCCAAACCAAUAAAGUUUUCUUUAUUGGGGUUGAGGACAUACCACAUAUAAGAGGUCAUUAUAGACGAAGAAGUUUGGAAAAACUCAUCAUAGAAGGUAAUAAUCCUGUAGUCAAAAUAAUAAUUCUUUAGGUAUGAUCCAGAGUACCACGGGACACGUGAAACCCUGUGGGAAGCAGGAGGGACCACCCUCCAAGGCUAAAUACUACCUAGUGACCGAUAGCGUAUAGUACCGUGAGGGAAAGGUGAAAAGAACCCCGGGAGGGGAGUGAAAUAGAACCUGAAACCCUGCACUUACAAGCUGUGGAAGCACAUUUCUUGUGUGACCGCGUACUUUUUGUAGAACGGGCCAACGAGUUACGUUAAGUAGCAAGGUUAAGCACUUAAGGUGUGGAGCCGUAGCGAAAGCGAGUUUUAACUGAGCGUUCAGUUACUUGACGUAGACCCGAAACCGGGCGACCUACCCAUGAGCAGGAUGAAGCGAAAGUAAAAUUUCGUGGAGGUCCGAACCCACGAGCGUUGAAAAGCUCGGGGAUGACUUGUGGGUAGCGGUGAAAUUCCAAUCGAGCCCGGAGAUAGCUGGUUCUCCCCGAAAUAGCUUUAGGGCUAGCCUCAAGGUGAGAGAUACGGAGGUAGAGCACUGAAUGUCCUAGGGGGUAUUGCACCUACCGAAGACUAUCAAACUCCGAAUGCCGUCAUCUUAUACUUGGGAGUCAGACUGUGGGUGAUAAGAUUCAUAGUCGAAAGGGCAACAGCCCAGAUCGUCAGCUAAGGUCCCUAAAUGUAAGUUAAGUGGUAAAGGAUGUGGGAUUGCACAGACAACCAGGAUGUUGGCUUAGAAGCAGCCACUCAUUCAAAGAGUGCGUAAUAGCUCACUGGUCGAGUGAUCCUGCGCCGAAGAUUUCCGGGGCUAAAACUUACUACCGAAGCUACGGCAUCAAUAAUGAUGGGUAGGGGAGCUUCCCAUACGGGUUGAAGCAUGACCGUAAGGACAUGUGGACAGUAUGGGAGUGAGAAUGUUGGCAUGAGUAGCGAGAUGUGGGUGAGAAUCCCACAGGCCGUAAACCCAAGGUUUCCAGGGGAAGGUUCGUCCGCCCUGGGUUAGUCGGGACCUAAGCUGAGGCCGAAAGGCGUAGGUGAUGGACAACAGGUUGAUAUUCCUGUACUACCGAUAACCGUUUGAGAGAAGGGAUGACACAGUAGGAUAAGCUAAGCACACUGUUGGUUAUGUGUGCCCAAGCAUUGAGGCAGUCAAAGUAGGCAAAUCCGCUUUGAUAAUGCUAGGAUGUGAUGGGGAGCGAAAUUUAGUAGCGAAGUAGCUGAUUUCACACUGUCAAGAAAAGUCUCUAUCGAGGUUAAAGGUACCCGUACCGCAAACCGACACAGGUGGGUGAGGAGAGUAUCCUAAGGCCAGCGAGAGAACUGUUGUUAAGGAACUCGGCAAAAUGACCCCGUAACUUAGGGAUAAGGGGUGCCACCAUCAGGUGGCCGCAGAGAAUAGGCCCAAGCGACUGUUUACCAAAAACAUAGGUUUCUGCUAAGUCGCAAGACGAUGUAUAGGAGCUGACGCCUGCCCGGUGCUGGAAGGUUAAGGGGAUCUGUUAGAGCAAUCGAAGCAGUGAACUUAAGCCCCAGUAAACGGCGGCCGUAACUAUAACGGUCCUAAGGUAGCGAAAUUCCUUGUCGGGUAAGUUCCGACCCGCACGAAAGGCGUAACGAUUUGGGCACUGUCUCAACAACAGACUCGGUGAAAUUGUAAUUCCGGUGAAGAUGCCGGAUACCUGCGACAGGACGGAAAGACCCCAUGGAGCUUUACUGUAGCUUGACAUUGGGUCUUGGUACUACAUGUACAGGAUAGGUGGGAGGCUUUGAAACCAGGACGCCAGUUUUGGCGGAGCCAUCCUUGGGAUACCACCCUUGUAGUACUGGGACUCUAACCAUAGGCCAUGAAUCUGGUCUUGGGACACUGUCAGGUGGGCAGUUUGACUGGGGCGGUCGCCUCCCAAAAGGUAACGGAGGCGCUCAAAGGUUCUCUCAGUACGGUCGGAAAUCGUACGUAGAGUGUAAAGGCAAAAGAGAGCUUGAUUGCAAGACAUACAGGUCGAGCAAGGAUGAAAAUCGGACUUAGUGAUCCGGUGGUUCUGCGUGGAAGGGCCAUCGCUCAACGGAUAAAAGCUACCCUGGGGAUAACAGGCUUAUCUCCCCCAAGAGUCCACAUCGACGGGGAGGUUUGGCACCUCGAUGUCGGCUCAUCACAUCCUGGGGCUGUAGUAGGUCCCAAGGGUUGGGCUGUUCGCCCAUUAAAGUGGUACGCGAGCUGGGUUCAGAACGUCGUGAGACAGUUCGGUCCCUAUCCGUCGCAGGCGUAGGAAAUUUGAGAAGACCUGUCCUUAGUACGAGAGGACCGGGAUGGACGUACCUCUGGUGUACCAGUUGUCCUGCCAAGGGCAUGGCUGGGUAGCUAUGUACGGAAUGGAUAAGCGCUGAAAGCAUCUAAGCGCGAAGCCAACUUCAAGAUAAGAUUUCCCACCGCAAGGGUAAGACCCCAGAAAGACUAUCUGGUUGAUAGGUCGAAGGUGUAAGUGCAGCAAUGUAUUUAGCUUAUCGAUACUAAUAGGUCGAGGACUUGACCAA
rnacentral:rRNA from 1 species